UACGUAGGGUGCAAGCGUUGUCCGGAAUUAUUGGGCGUAAAGAGCUCGUAGGCGGUUUGUCGCGUCUGCUGUGAAAACUCGGGGCUUAACCCCGGGCCUGCAGUGGGUACGGGCAGACUAGAGUGCGGUAGGGGAGACUGGAAUUCCUGGUGUAGCGGUGAAAUGCGCAGAUAUCAGGAGGAACACCGGUGGCGAAGGCGGCCUGCUGGGCAGUAGCUGACACUGAGGCGCGACAGCGUGGGGAGCGAACAGG
rnacentral:rRNA from 1 species